AGUUAGUGGCGGACGGGUGAGUAACGCGUGGAAAACCUGCCGUAUACUGGGGGAUAACACUUAGAAAUAGGUGCUAAUACCGCAUAAGCGCACAGCUUCGCAUGAAGCGGUGUGAAAAACUCCGGUGGUACAGGAUGGACCCGCGUCUGAUUAGCUGGUUGGCGGGGUAACGGCCCACCAAGGCGACGAUCAGUAGCCGGCCUGAGAGGGUGAACGGCCACAUUGGGACUGAGACACGGCCCAAACUCCUACGGGAGGCAGCAG
rnacentral:rRNA from 1 species